AACCCUUUGGAAAUCUUAGACAUAGUCUGCAAACCCCCAGGGUCCAUGGACCACAGGUUGAAAACCAUUGUUCUAUGGUAACGACAACCUUUCAUGGACCCCUUAGACAUAGCCCUGGCCUAUACUGG